GCUCGGAUACUCCUACUUGUAUAACGAGCAAUUUUUUGAUUUCUGGAGGACAUCGCUGCAAUUCUGUUCCGGUUUCUGGAGCUCUAGGAUGGCAGCAGUGAAAUCUACUGUGACUGGAUCUUGAUGCUGUCUGCUUGCGUAUUCUACGGCGCAUUACACUGACUGUGCUCUGCCUAAUUACUACACAACAAGUACUAUUUAUACUUAAGAAUAUCGCUGCAGUUCUCCGCCUGUUUCUGGGUCACAAGGAUGUAUUCUGCGAGAAUCUGUGCAAGUGUGCAAGCCAUAUAUACAGUGGAGUGCUGGCUGAGAAUAUACAGUGUUUACGUCAGCUGUGGAGCUGGUUGAUUGUAGUUUGGACAUAAAACUACGGUAGUGGUGCUCUUGAUUCCUGAUUCAGUGCUACAUAUCAACAACUCGUUGUUUAUUGGCAGUAUACAGAAAUUUGAUCGUGCUUUGG